UCAGUUCACUUGAAGAGCUUCCGUCUCUAUACAUAUACAUACAAAUUUAUAUAUCUAACUUAUCACCGGCAGGGGAAAUCGACGGUGGCCGGCGAUGGCAUUGGCACCGGGGCUAUCACGAAAGCUGAAGAAAGUGCUGGAAACUCGAACAGACACGCCGGAUCUGCUCGCAUCGCUGAAUACUCUCUCCACAUUCUACACCGAAAACACACCUCAUUCUCGCCGUAACCUCCGAUCCACUAUUGAGAAGCGUUCUCUAUCUAUAAAUGAAGAAUUCCUUCUUUCCUCCACUGCUGCUCAGAAGGUACCUUUUUUUGGAUUUAAUUUUUCGAACGAUCCACUAUUGAAAAUCGUUCUCUAUCUAUAAAUGAAGAGUUCCUUCUUUCCUCCACUGCUGCU
rnacentral:lncRNA from 1 species